rnacentral:rRNA from 1 species
AUUCCAGCUCCAAUAGCGUAUAUUAAAGUUGUUGCGGUUAAAAAGCUCGUAGUUGGAUUUCUGCUGAGGAUGACUGGUCCGCCCUCUGGGUGAGUAUCUAGCCUAUCCUUGGCAUCUUCCUGAAGAACGUAGCUGCACUUGACUGUGUGGUGCGGUAUUUAGGACAUUUACUUUGAGGAAAUUAGAGUGUUUCAAGCAAGCGCACGCCUUGAAUACAUUAGCAUGGAAUAAUAAGAUAGGACCUCGGUUCUAUUUUGUUGGUUUCUAGACCUGAAGUAAUGAUUGAUAGGGACAGUUGGGGGUGCUAGUAUUGGCCGGCCAGAGGUGAAAUUCUUGGACUCGGUCAAGACUAACUUAUGCGAAAGCAUUCACCAAGGAUGUCUUCAUCG